AUUGAACGCUGGCGGCAGGCCUAACACAUGCAAGUCGAACGAGUGGCGGACGGGUGAGUAAUGUCUGGGAAACUGCCUGAUGGAGGGGGAUAAGUACUGGAAACGGUAGCUAAUACCGCAUACCAUCAGAUGUGCCCAGAUGGGAUUUGGUAGGGGGUGGGGGAACGGCUCACCAAGGCGACGAUCCCUAGCUGGGCUGAGAGGAUGACCAGCCACACUGGAACGUAGACACGGUCCAGAUUCCUACGGGAGGCAGCAGUGGGGAAUAUUGGACAAUGGGCGCAAGCCUGAUGCAGCCAUGCCGCGUGUAUGAAGAAGGCCUUCGGGUUGUAAAGUACUUUCAGCGGGGAGGCGUUACCCACAGAAGAAGCACCGGCUAACUCCGUGCCAGCAGCCGCGGUAAUUC
rnacentral:rRNA from 1 species